rnacentral:rRNA from 1 species
CCUACGGGAGGCAGCAGUGGGGAAUUUUGCGCAAUGGGGGCAACCCUGACGCAGCAACGCCGCGUGAGUGAUGAAGGCCUUCGGGUCGUAAAGCUCUGUCAGAGGGGAGGAAAUGCAGGUGGUGAACAACCAUUCUGUUUGACGGUACCCUCAAAGGAAGCACCGGCUAACUCCGUGCCAGCAGCCGCGGUAAUACGGAGGGUGCGAGCGUUGUUCGGAAUUAUUGGGCGUAAAGCGCGUGUAGGCGGUUUGUUAAGUCGGAUGUAAAGGCCCGGGGCAAAACCGGGGAAGUGCAUUGGAUACUGGCAGACUGGAGUACGGGAGAGGAGAGUGAAAUUCCCAGUGUAGGAGUGAAAUCCGUAGAUAUUGGGAGGAACACCGGUGGCGAAGGCGGCUCUCGGAACCGAUACUGACGCUGAGACGCGAAAGCGUGGGGAGCAAACAGGAUUAGAUCCCCUAGUAGU